UAGCUCAGUUGGUAGUAGCGCAUGACUGUUAAUCAUGAUGUCGUAGGUUCGAGUCCUA
rnacentral:tRNA from 1 species